rnacentral:rRNA from 1 species
GAUGAACGCUGGCGGCGUGCUUAACACAUGCAAGUCGAACGGAAAGGCCCAAGCUUGCUUGGGUACUCGAGUGGCGAACGGGUGAGUAACACGUGGGUGAUCUGCCCUGCACUUCGGGAUAAGCCUGGGGAACUGGGUCUAAUACCGGAUAGGACCACUUCUUGGAUGUUGUGGUGGAAAGUUUUUUCGGUGUGGGAUGAGCUCGCGGCCUAUCAGCUUGUUGGUGGGGUAAUGGCCUACCAAGGCGUCGACGGGUAGCCGGCCUGAGAGGGGGUACGGCCACAUUGGGACUGAGAUACGGCCCAGACUCCUACGGGAGGCAGCAGUGGGGAAUAUUGCACAAUGGGCGCAAGCCUGAUGCAGCGACGCCGCGUGGGGGAUGACGGCCUUCGGGUUGUAAACUCCUUUCGCUAGGGACGAAGCGUUUUGUGACGGUACCUGGAGAAGAAGCACCGGCUAACUACGUG